UGUCACUUCGCAAGACGCACACACGGCAAUCAACACGUGGGUGCGGUGGGCACUUGCCUAUCAGUGAUGAUGCUGAGCGCAGGGUAGUCAUUUUAAUCUUUAUUUUCGCGACUUUGUGUAUCACCAAGACCUACGUGAUACGGAAUCUUCACUUACAGUGAACAUGUACAACUCCAGACACCAGCAGAUGUGGUGAUCUCUGAAGACGUUAAUUACUGCACACCACAUUAGGUCUGCCUUGUAAUCGAAUGCACCCUAUACGCCUGCAUUCCAUUGGCACACUUUGAUGCUGGACCCCACACCUGCAUACACACCUGUCAGCUGGCAAUCAGGUAAGAGAUAACUGGACGAUGGAGACAUAUCAAGCCCUUUAUUGUCAUAAUAUCUGCUCUUGGAACAUUGAUGAAGGUCCAAGCAAGAUGGUCAGAUUGUGGAAUCAAAGAGGGCCAGCAGUCUACAACCUUUAGAAAAGGAGUUUAAAAAAAUGGGCAAGUGGAUAGAAGCAGAGAUGGUAGUGAGAGUGGAAGAAACCUGUGCUGUCCAUCCAGGAGAAGUCUGUCUUCUGCAGUGACUGUAAGAUGUCUUUUCAAGCAUUGAAGAUGAUAUUGAGGCCAUACUUUGAUGUCACAGAGAGAUGCACAAAGUAACGUCAAGGCAAUAUUGAAGAUUUCAAAUACAGACACUCAAGCCAGUAGGGGUCCUAAGAUAUUACCUGAACCAAAUCACUUUCAGGGUUGGCAACUUAACAAUCACCAUUGUGCAGUCAAUUGUGUGUGUUCAUUUGACCCUCAAAGAACCAGGGAGUAGAUCUGGCCCCUCGAGAUUUUGACUGAUAUCGCCACAGUACAAUAGUCCAACCUUGAGGAGUUGUUCAGUAACUCUUUUGUGGUCUUUCUGACAUUAGUUCUGUGAAAAUUGCACAUGCAUGUAUCUUUCUCGUUACAAGCACCUCUUUUUCCUGAAAGAAAAAGCAAAAAAACCAAAAAGACCCACAAGUCUGGUCCAAGCCAAUUUGGCUCGUCAGGCCGGUGUUUAUUGCGGUUUCCUUGGCAUGAAAUGACUGAGAAUAUUUCUUUUUCCCCCUGGAUGGGAUGCCAGUCCAACACAAGUUGCUUCCCACACUAAUACUGGUACCCAUUUAUACUCCUAUGUGGAGAGGGGCAAGCAGGGGUGAGGUGGCUUGCCAAGGGCCACAACAUACUGCCAGCAGCUGGAUUCGAACCUCCAACCCUAUGAUUGGAAGCCACAAACCCUAAACACUUGGUCACAUGAAAGAGGUCAGCCAUAUUUGUAAAAAAUUUUUAUGAGCCCAGCCUUUAGUUUCAUAAAGCAGCUUUUUACAGUCACUUUGACAGCAGUUCUGUGAAAAUCACACAAACUGUUCUCAUGCAGCACCCACUUUCCCGAAACAGGUCGACCAAAAAAACGUACCUGCACUUUCAAUUGCUGUGCUGAGUGCACACAGUGUCUGGUACACUUGUAACCUUCAACUUCAAAUGAUCAAAUCAACUAUAAGUUCUAUGUCAGAUUGAUUUGAAACUCCACAUCUGUAUUGAUUAGGAGUGUUUUACAUGCACGCCGAGUGUUGAAAAAAAUCGGGCUUGGGACAGCCAAGAUCUCGGCUGUGAUAUGGUACAAAAUAGCCUGCCAACUUCAGGGUUAACACUGGCAUAAAAUUGACAGAACUUGAUGACAUUUAUUGGUUUUUCCUGGCACUCCUGACAGGAGGAAUUUCCUUUGUGUUUGUUUAAUGGCACAAUGGUUAUGGAAAAAGGAAAAAGAACUGAACACUGCCUUAAUGGCA